rnacentral:rRNA from 1 species
GCCUACGGGGGGCAGCAGUGAGGAAUAUUGGUCAAUGGGAGAGAUCCUGAACCAGCCAAGCCGCGUGAGGGCAGACGGCCCUAUGGGUUGUAAACCUCUUUUGUCGGAGAACAAAACCCGGGACGAGUCCCGGACUGCGUGUAUCCGAAGAAAAAGCAUCGGCUAACUCCGUGCCAGCAGCCGCGGUAAUACGGAGGAUGCGAGCGUUAUCCGGAUUUAUUGGGUUUAAAGGGUGCGUAGGCGGUCCGUUAAGUCAGCGGUAACAUUGCGGGGCUCAACCGCGUCGAGCCGUUGAAACUGGCAGG